AUACGGAGGGUCCAAGCGUUAUCGGGAAUCAUUGGGUUUAAAGGGUCCGCAGGCGGUCAAUUAAGUCAGAGGUGAAAGCCCAUCGCUCAACGAUGGAACUGCCUUUGAUACUGGUUGACUUGAGUUAUACGGAAGUAGAUAGAAUAAGUAGUGUAGCGGUGAAAUGCAUAGAUAUUACUUAGAAUACCGAUUGCGAAGGCAGUCUACUACGUAUAUACUGACGCUGAGGGACGAAAGCGUGGGGAGCGAACAGGAUUAGAAACCCCAGUAGUCC
rnacentral:rRNA from 1 species